ensembl:lncRNA
CAGCGAAGUGGUCACAAAGGGAAGUGGUAGGUCAGGGAAGUAGUAGGUCAGGGAAGUGGUCACAAAGGGAAGUGGUAGGUCAGGGAAGUGGUAGGUCAGGGAAGUGGUCACAAAGGGAAGUGGUAGGUCAGGGAAGUAGUAGAUCAGGGAAGUAGUCACAAAGGGAAGUGGUAGGUCAGGGAAGUGGUAGGUCAGGGAAGUGGUAGGUCAGGGAAGUGGUCACAAAGGGAAGUGGUAGGUCAGGGAAGUGGUCACAAAGGGAAGUGGUAGGUCAGGGAAGUAGUAGGUCAGGGAAGUGGUCACAAAGGGAAGUGGUAGGUCAGGGAAGUGGUAGGUCAGCGAAGUGGUCACAAAGGGAAGUGGUAGGUCAGGGAAGUGGUCACAAAGGGAAGUGGUAGGUCA